UGUUUGUGUUCUUUUGUAUAAUUUCUACCAUGUUUCAACCCAUAAGAAAAAUUUAAUGAUUAAAGAGUUCGGCACCCACUGAAGGCUUGGAGUGUACAAAAGCUCUAGCCCCUAAAUAGCAGCUUCUCAUCGAGCUUGGGGGAAUGGGGAUUUGGUGGGUGUAAGAGCUGUGAAUCUAUGGCUACUGUUUCUUCCAAAUAUGAAAUAUCACAACCGGGCCGAGAACCUGAUGAAGAUGAAGAUGAAGAA
rnacentral:misc_RNA from 1 species